rnacentral:rRNA from 1 species
AACCAAAGCUGGCGACCGGCGCACGGGUGAGUAACACGUAUCCAACCUGCCUCAUACUCGGGAUAGCCUUUCGAAAGAAAGAUUAAUAUCCGAUAGCAUAUAUUUCCCGCAUGGGUUUUAUAUUAAAGAAAUUCGGUAUGAGAUGGGGAUGCGUUCCAUUAGUUUGUUGGGGGGUAACGGCCCACCAAGACUACGAUGGAUAGGGGUUCUGAGAGGAAGGUCCCCCACAUUGGAACUGAGACACGGUCCAA